ACUCAGCUGACAAGUCUAAAAUAGGACGAAACGCGCAUUAUGAAU
rnacentral:hammerhead_ribozyme from 1 species